rnacentral:rRNA from 1 species
UACGUAGGGGGCGAGCGUUGUCCGGAUUUAUUGGGCGUAAAGAGCGUGUAGGCGGCCAGGUAGGUCUGCUGUGAAAACUCGAGGCUCAACCUCGAGACGUCGGCGGAAACCAUCUGGCUAGAGUCCGGAAGAGGAGAGUGGAAUUCCUGGUGUAGCGGUGAAAUGCGCAGAUAUCAGGAAGAACACCCGUGGCGAAGGCGGCUCUCUGGGGACGGUACUGACGCUGAGACGCGAAAAGCGUGGGGGAGCGAACAGG